AUGGACAUAUAUACUCAGUUAUUGUUCUAUAACAUAGAGUUACCCUGGACGUUCAUGCUUCUUCUCUUGUGUAUAUUCAAUUCAACAUAUGGUGGUUCUUCAAGUAGCCUUAGUGUGCAUUUUCAGUUCAUCUUGCAGGUGAAGGAGCUCCCCUUCAGUUUAUGUUGCAGGUGUGUUUGGGCAGUACAAACACAUCGCCAUAGUUUGUACAGAUUAUCUCUGGAUCCAAAGAAAGAAAGAAAUCUCCAGCCAACUUGCCUUGAAACUAAUCAAGCCCUAUUUUUUGUUGUCAUCGAGCAACAAGAAAACAGCCCCCAAAUCCAUUCUUACACACAUGGGGGAAAUAAUGUUCCUGUAUUAGUUCAGGUGUCGCCCCUCCGCCUCCUUCUGGUACACUCAGCGACGCUCCCCGCCACCUUGUCACGUUGUCCCAGUGGGUGGUCCGACACGGCUGCGUCCAGCAAUCCAACACCGCCGUCGGAGGCCGUUCAAUGUCCCAGCGCCUCCUUCCCAGUCAUCGUGAGCCCGAACUAA
rnacentral:rRNA from 1 species